GAAAGGGACGAGAAAGAGCCAAGACCUGGCAUUCGUUGAAGAAACUGUGCUAAUUAUAAGCGCAAGCUUUUGCACAGUUUAACGCUCGUUAUUCAUCAUUUUCGAAUUAUUCGGUAAUAAUAUUAUUACAUUAUAACCGUUUACAUUAUUACUAUACAUAUUAAUAUUGCAUGAACGUCAAGGACAAGUGGGAAUUUUUAAAGCGAGAUGCACUUGGGCAACUAGUAACAAAGGAAUAUUUGACGUAGCGAGCUAGAAAGAUAAUUAAAGGCUUUCGGUUCAUUGGCACUUUUGACAAUCACAAAGGGAUUCGGUCGGCCGGUGACUUGGCCACGAACCUGACACCAUUUCAUCCCCCUCGCGGUAGCAUGGUGUUGUUGAGGAGGCAAUUCUCAAAACCUGCGCCGAACCGAGAUUAUCUUAUCGGCGGAGACCGAGUAGACUUUAACGGAGGGUAGCAUAAAUCAGAACCACGACCUAGGCGCGUAGGAUACGUCAACUGAAUCUCGCGUUCGAGAUGAAGGAUGUAAAAAAUAAAGACGACAAGGGAUCCUAAAAUAAUAUCGUAAACCACGAACGACGGGCACGCCUUGUCUACGCACGUCCGCACGCUUACGCGUGCUCGUACAUAUAUUAUGAACACGUUAUAGAACAUGGAAGUCUAUUUCGAACCGAAAGACAUUCUGUAUCCAGCCGCUCUCUCGCAACAGCCGUUUGAUACAGCCACGAUAUACAGGGUGGAGCGAGAAGUCUAAUGAUACCGAAAAACGUUUCGCAAGAGGAAGUGACCAAAGUUACAGUCUCACCCUGUGUAUAAGAAAACUACAUCCCCUUGCCAGUGGCUGUCAGACGUCGGUGAGAUUUGCAGAAAGGAAAAACGAAUCACCCUUCGUUGUACGUUUAAAAUUUACUUUCUAUUGUGUAGAUUCUCGAGAUGGAAACUUCUUUUAUACCGCAUAUUUUUAUUCCUAUUGGAAAAGUAAAUCUCCCUGUGCCAAUUCAAGAAUGUUUCGUUUGUAAAGUUUAUUCCCUAUUGUGCGUUACACGGUUCCAUUUGCAUCAACAGAGGGUAGAAUAUUCUGUAUCCAUAUUUACACAACAAAACGCGUCGUUCUCACAUUUUGUUGUAUAAUUAAAUAUUUUACAUGCACAUUACGUUUUGCUGUCUGACCACAGACCGGCUUGUGCAAGUUGAGUACCACUGUAAAUCGGCGUGCACAUCUGGCCGUGGCCGCCCUGGAAACAUGGGAGUUGAGAGUAAAGUAUAAACUAUGGGGUGCCACCCCAUCUCGUACCGGGCACCUCCUCCUACUCU